GGAGGUGGCGAGCGUUACUCGGAUUUAUUGGGUGUAAAGGGCAGGUAGGUGGCUCAACAAGUGGGGAGUGAAAUCUCCGGCUUAAUCGGAGAACAGCUUUCCAAACUAUUGAGCUUGAGUGUGGGAGAGGAGAAUGGAACUCCUGGUGUAAGGGUAAAAUCUGGUAGAGAUCAGGAGGAACACCAUUGGCGAAGGCGAUUCUCUGGACCACAACUGACACUGAACUGCGAAAGCUAGGGGAGAGAACAGGAUUAGAUACCCUGGUAUUCCUAGCCGUAAACGAUGAGUACUGGGUGUUUCCUGUAACAGGGAGGCGCCGANGUUAACACAUUAAGUACUCCACCUGGGGACUACGG
rnacentral:rRNA from 1 species